AUGGGAAGAACAUGUGUGUUUGUUCAUCAUGGGGACAAAGACGCCUUUUUGAAAGGCAAUAAAGAACCGGACCCGGAUGAGUUUGACAUGGUGUUUGAUAGUAGUCCUAGCUAUGCGGAGCUCUUGCAACAAGUUAGGAAAGAUUUGAAUUGGAUGGACCCUAGUGAUAUCAUUGAGUUGGAGGGAAGGCAUAAUGUUGGUUUUGGAAUGCACGUCCGUUGGAAGACAAUGCGUGUAAACUCGGAGCAACGUUGGGUUGCAUACAAGGAGACGGUGGCCGAAUCACUAGACAAGGCUCUUGAGUUAUUUGCAACGAAGAAGGUUGAGUCAAGUUUGCAUUUGGACUUGAACCGGAACCCCUCCCCUUUGGUUGCUAGUAGCCCCCCAUCCUUGAAGCGAGAUGAAAUUGUUGAACCUCUUUUGACCCAAGAAGUGAGGCCAACAUUGAGCCCUUAUAGAAACAACCAAGAUGAAUCUUUGCAAGAGGACAAUGAUGAGUAUGCGGACGAUGACAAUGAAGUUGAUCUCCAUGACAACAAUGUGGGUGAUCUCGACAAAUAUCAUUUGCAAGAGACAAUGGACCAUUCCAUCCCUUUUUCCCGUGCAUAUGCAUCGGACUCGGAUGACGAUGGUCCCGAUGAACAAGUUGAUGCGGAGGGGUUCACGGUGAAGGAGGCGGAAGCUUUCGAGAAGGUAUUUGGUCGGGAUCAUCGGACUACAUUGUUCAAGGAUGUUAGUCUCGCGGAUGAAGCCGUGGUAGAUGGUGGCCAAUGUGUACCUCUUGGGGUUAGGCCAAGCUCUCACCGUGAUUUGGUAGACGACAAGAACCGAAUUGCUAAAGGUUCUAAGUUCGACAGCUUGUUGGAUUUGAAGAUGUGGCUCGACAACUACUCGGUUACGCAUUAUCGUCCACACAAGGUGGUGCACUCGGACGUCAAUGUGCGCUACACGAUUGCAUGUGCAUGUGAAGAUGAAAAGGAGGUCCAACUUGGACUUACAAGAGGCCGUGGUGGUGGUAGAGGUCGUGGAAAGGAGGUCCAACAAGGAGUGGCAAGACGCCGUGGCGGUUGUCCGUGGAUUGUGCGUGCAAGACCAUGGAAAGGAGGUCCUACUUGGCAUGUAGUGAGUUGUGUGCCAACUCACAUGUGCCAAGGCAAAAGGGUGGAUGGCAAGAUUGUGUCCGAAGACCACAAACAACUCACGUCCGAGUUCAUCGCUUACAGGCUCUCCAACUCAAUAUCCACACUUCCAACAAUGAGCGUCCAACAUGUCAUUGACCUUGUGAAAGCCAUCUUUCAUUACAAGGUGAAAUACGGCAAGGCAUGGAAGGCGAAGCAAGCCGCAUUUAAGAUGUUGUAUGGUACAUGGGAGGAAGCAUACAACCGAAUCCCUAGGUUGUUGUUAGCCAUGGCCGCGACAAACCCGGGCAUGGUUCAUGUGGUCGAGCCUCAUGGGCACCAAACAACGGUUCAUGAAGGAAGGAAAGUCAGAGUAUUUGGCCAUGCUUUUUGGGCGUUCGAACAAUGUGUGAGGGCUUUCGAACAUUGUAGGCCAGUCAUCGCAAUUGAUGGCACGUUCUUGACCGGACAAUACAAGGGCACCUUGUUGGUUACGAUAGCAAGUGAUGCCAAUAACCGGGUGUUGCCAUUGGCAUUUGCUUUGGUUGAGGUGGAAAACAAUGACAACUGGGAGUGGUUUCUGCAUCUUUUGAGGACGAAGGUGUUACCCGCUCAAAGGGAAAUUUGUGUCAUAUCGGAUCGGAAUCAAGGAAUUCUUAACGCCGUGGAGAUUGACAUUCCCGGGCAUGCUCCGUUGCACCAUCGUUGGUGCAUGAGGCACUUUUGUUCGAACUUCUAUAGGGCAUGUGGCCUUAAGGAGUUGGCCGAUGAUCUUCAAGAUUGUUGUCUCGCUUUCUCCGAUAAGCGCUUCGCCACUUUGUACAACAAAUUGCUCGCACACAAAAAACUUGAUCCCGGGGGUCAAGAGUUUCUCAAUAGGCACAUUCAAUACCGGAACAAGUGGGCACGUGCUUUUGAUGAAGAUGGCCGGAGAUACGGUCAAAUGACAAGCAAUAUGGCCGAAUGCUUCAAUAGGGUGCUCAAAGGUGCACGUGGAUUACCCGUGACGGCAAUAGUUCAAUACACAUUUGACAAGAUGAAUGCGUACUUUGUAAAGUACUCGAUGGAAACCGAUGCACAGAUAGCGGGUGAGAACCCACGGAAGUACAAGUACAAGUUCCCACCCAAAGUUGAUGAAUGGUUGCUAUUUCAAUCACGGAAGGCGGACUCAGAAGAAGCUAUAUUAUAUGACAAUGAAGAGUGGAAGUACGAAGUGAAAGAGCCAGGAGGAACCACAAAUGAUGGCCGGCAACAUGGAGGUCGGGCUUUCAAGGUGUCGUUAACACAAUGUGAUUGCUCUUGCGGGAGGCCAUUGUUGCUUCAUCUCCCAUGCUCACAUUUGUAUGCCGCCGGCCGCGUUAGGAAUGUGGACAUCAAUCACCCACGCAUGGCCCAAUCCUUGAUCUUCCGUUGCUUUUUCCUAUCCAACCUGCAAGUUAGAAACAGAAUAUUAGCAUCAUCGAAACCGUCGAGAAGCUGCUAA
rnacentral:rRNA from 1 species